rnacentral:tRNA from 1 species
UUCCUGGUGGCUCAGAUAGUAAAGAAUCUGCCUACAAUGCAGGAGACCCAGGUUACAUCCCUGGUUGGGAAG